AUAAGUACUGGAAAUAUUGCUUAUUUUUAAGAAACUAAUUAGUUAUGUAAAUUUGUAAGCAUUUAUUUUUCACCCUAAUACACAAUCUAGUUUCUGUAUAAGGUGCAUAAACUGAUUAAAAAUAUGAUUGGCUUGAAUACUGAAUUGGAUACUAAAUUGAGGAAAGAUUAGACUUCUAUAUUAGGCAGUAAAUGUCAAGGCUAUUCUUAAAGAGGCUUCGCUUAAUAAUUUGCAAAAACAGAAAUACAUUUUAUUGUCUCAGAAAGUGAUUGUGAGAGCUAGAAAUAUGUGCAAAACGAUGAAGGAUAGUGAAAAAAUCAUAAAACAGGACAGUGAAUGUCGAAUCCUUUGCCUGACAUAUUUAAACGGAAAUAAGGUAAGAAGACAAGAUGUAGGUAGGUAUCUAGCAAUUGCACCUAAACGUAAAGAAGAUAUUUUAGAGUAUUUUGAAGCAAACCUCUGCAUGACAUCAUAACGUAUCUGUAAUAUUGAUUUGGAAAAAUGCAGUCUCCAUCCAUGCUGCUUUCAGGAAACCCUCAUCUGUUGCCUGAUGAUUGCGAUUGGAGAGUAAAUUUAUUGUCAAGUGAUUAAUCUAGGAAAACAAAGUAUUUUUAAAUGAGGUUUCGUGGACAGACUAAGCUUUGCUUACAAGAAUGAGUCUCUAUAAUUCUCGUAAUGUGCCUACAAGGGCCAAGAAAAUCCACACCUGCGAUGAAAACUCACUUUUAACACAGUUUCAGUAUUAAUGUAUGGGGUUGGGUUUAUUGGAAAUAAUCUAACCGGGCCCAUUAUUUUAUCCAGAAGACCCAGUAGUGAGUCAUAUCCAAAUUUUUUUUGAGAACCAACUACUUGAAUGACUGAAAAAUGUACAAUUAAAUUUGUGUAAGAACAUGUUAUUUAUGCACUAACGAAAUUAGAAACUACCCCGAUAUUCUAGUUUGUACAACUUAAAAAUUAAAGAGACAAUUACAAACUUGCAGAACGCAAAACAGUCAUCAUUUUGAA